rnacentral:rRNA from 1 species
UACGUAGGGGGCAAGCGUUGUCCGGAAUCAUUGGGCGUAAAGCGCGUGUAGGCGGUCCGGUAAGUCCGCUGUGAAAGUCGGGGUCUCAACCCUCGGAUGCCGGUGGAUACUGUCGGGCUUGAGUACGGAAGAGGCGAGUGGAAUUCCUGGUGUAGCGGUGAAAUGCGCAGAUAUCAGGAGGAACACCAAUUGCGAAGGCAGCUCGCUGGGACGUUACUGACGCUGAGACGCGAAAGCGUGGGGAGCAAACAGG